rnacentral:rRNA from 1 species
UGGGGAAUAUUGGUCAAUGGGCGAAAGCCUGAACCAGCAACGCCGCGUGAGGGACGAAGGCCUUCGGGUUGUAAACCUCUUUUCUAUGGGAAGAUAAUGACGGUACCAUAGGAAUAAGCCACGGCUAACUACGUGCCAGCAGCCGCGGUAAUACGUAGGUGGCAAGCGUUGCCCGGAUUUACUGGGUGUAAAGGGCGUGUAGGCGGGACUACAAGUCAGAUGUGAAAUUUCGGGGCUCAACCCCGAAACUGCAUUUGAAACUGUAGUUCUUGAGUGAUGGAGAGGUAAACGGAAUUCCCAGUGUAGCGGUAAAAUGCGUAGAUAUUGGGAGGAACACCAGUGGCGAAGGCGGUUUACUGGACAUUAACUGACGCUGAGGCGCGAAAGCGUGGGGAGCAAACA